rnacentral:tRNA from 1 species
UGCGGGGUCGUCUAAUGGUAGGACGCUCGGCUCUGGACCGAGUAGUCUAGGUUCGAUUAGCCGGACCCCCCGGCGA